CCUACGGGUGGCAGCAGUGAGGAAUAUUGGUCAAUGGCCGAAAGGCUGAACCAGCCAAGCCGCGUGAAGGACGAAGGUGCCAAGCAUUGUAAACUUCUUUUGUCAAGGGACAAAAUCAGGCUCGAGAGCCUGACCGAGGGUACUUGAAGAAAAAGCAUCGGCUAACUCGGUGACAGCAGCCGCGUUAAUACGGAGGAUGCGAGCGUUAUCCGGAUUUAUUGGGUUUAAAGGGUGCGUAGGCGGACUGUUAAGUCAGCGGUAAAAGCCCGGGGCUCAACCCCGGCGAGCCGUUGAAACUGGCUGUCUUGAGAUGUCGAGAGGUAUGCGGAAUGCGCAGUGUAGCGGUGAAAUGCUUAGAUAUUGCGCAGAACUCCGAUUGCGAAGGCAGCAUACUGGCGGCGAUCUGACGCUGAGGCACGAAAGCGUGGGUAUCGAACAGGAUUAGAUACCCGAGUAGUC
rnacentral:rRNA from 1 species